UUUAUGGGUGUUUCCGUCGGUAGAGCCUGAGGCUCUUAAUCUCAGGGUUGUGGAUUCGAGUCCCACAUUGCAUGAAA